AGACAGAUGACGAGUCCCAAAGAGGACGAAACAUGCGUCCUGGAU
rnacentral:hammerhead_ribozyme from 1 species